GUGUCAGCAGCCGCGGUAAUACAGAGGGUGCAAGCGUUGUUCGGAAUCAUUGGGCGUAAAGGGCGCGUAGGCGGUUUUACAAGUCAGAUGUGAAAGCCCACAGCUUAACUGUGGAAGUGCAUUUGAAACUGCAAGACUAGAAUCUCGGAGAGGGUGGUGGAAUUCCCAGUGUAGAGGUGAAAUUCGUAGAUAUUGGGAGGAACACCGGUGGCGAAGGCGACCACCUGGCUGAAGAUUGACGCUGAGGCGCGAAAGCGUGGGGAUCAAACAGGAUUAGAUACCCCCGUAGUCC
rnacentral:rRNA from 1 species